UUACGGCCAUAUCGCGUUGAAAAAUUGGUUCCCGUACGAUCACCAAAUUUAAGCAAUAUCGAGCCUGGUCAGUACCUAGAUGAGUAACCGUUUGGGAAUACCAGGUGCU